rnacentral:rRNA from 1 species
GAUCAUGGCUCAGGAUGAACGCUGGCGGCGUGCUUAACACAUGCAAGUCGAACGAAGAUGCCGGAGUGCUUGCACUUUGGCAGACUGAGUGGCGGACGGGUGAGUAACGCGUGGGUAACCUGCCUUAUACAGGGGGAUAACAGUUGGAAACGACUGCUAAUACCGCAUAAGCGCACGGUAUCGCAUGAUACAGUGUAGAAAAACUCCGGUGGUAUAAGAUGGACCCGCGUCUGAUUAGCUUGUUGGUGAGGUAACGGCCCACCAAGGCGACGAUCAGUAGCCGGCCUGAGAGGGUGAACGGCCACAUUGGGACUGAGACACGGCCCAAACUCCUACGGGAGGCAGCAGGUGGGGAAUAUUGCACAAUGGGGGAAACCCUGAUGCAGCGACGCCGCGUGAGUGAUGAAGUAUUUCGGUAUGUAAAACUCUAUCAGCAGGGAAGAUAAUGACGGUACCUGACUAAGAAGCACCGGCUAAAUACGUG